UUGACAACAAAAUAACAAGUCCGCAACAAAUUAACAAGUGGCUCUUGACGGAAAGGGAUUGUCUGAAAUACCGGAAGUGACUCAACAAUGUUUCUGGCCCAAACAAAGCGCUAGCGGAAGAGGAGCGAAAGCACACGGAUAACACCAGCUAUGGUUCCUUCUUGCUGUGCGGUCGGUUGUAAUGUUAGAUUGCACGACCGACAAGGGAAUAAGCUUGAAAUGGUUUAUCUUUUCAUUCUUUCCCCACCUGGAAGCAACAUGAGGCAGCUCAUGUAUCAGAUGUUACCAAAGAAGACGUCUAGUCUGGAUAGCAGCUGUGAGACGAGCUGAUAUCCAGCUCUCUUCCAUCUCCAAAUAUCUGUUGGUGCUCCAGACAUUUUCAUUCCGGCAAACCAGCCUAUGAAAUGGAUGAAACACAUCGUGACUGGGUUCCAGCGCUACACAAGGGGCACUCCGAAAUCCCUGCUUCAAACAUACCGCCAUGCCAAUCAGAUUACUUCUUCCAUGUGAGGGUGAAGAUGUGACCCUUCUGGAUAAGAUGGUGAAGGUUUGCUGCGUUUUGGUGAA